AGGCAUGUUAUCGUUGGUAAAAAAUUUGGACAAUGUGGGCCAUAGUUGCCAAGGAGAAUUACUAACAAAGUGUACAGUAGCGUUGAGAUUUGUCAUAACACGAAACCAGUCGGAAACGCCCUCGAUAGUCUGUGUAUUUAAAGGAGCUAAAAGGGUGGUCUCUCCUACUUUCCUAGGCCCUUCAAUAACUCUUGUAUUUUUCACAGUGUCAUCAAUGUCUGAAAUAAUGGAAAUACCGUUUCGAUCUAACACGGGUACUUCGCUCAUAUAAGCUUUGAUCACUUUAUCCUCCGAGGUAGAUUGUAGAAGAACAGCUUCCACAGAAAACUUGUUAUUUUUAG